rnacentral:rRNA from 1 species
GACCCUAUAAAGUUUAUACAUGGAGUUAAUCAAGAGUGAUUUGGAAUAGUAAAGUUCAUUAUUAGCAAGAUGUUUAGUUGGGGUGACUAGAAUAUAAGUUAUAUAACUGUUUUUUGUUUUAAUCAGAGAUAUCUGUUUAUAUGGUCCCUUUUUAGGAUUAGAGAGUAAAUUACUUUAGGGAUAACAGCGUAAUUUUUUUUAAGAGUUCUUAUCGACAAAAGAGUUUGCGAC